GUAGGUGGCAAGCGUUGUCCGGAAUUAUUGGGCGUAAGGCGCGCGCAGGCGGGGUCCUUUAAGUCUGAUGUGAAAGCCCACGGGCUCAACCGUGAGGGUCAUUGGAAACUGGGGGACUUGAGUACAGAAGAGGAAAGCGGAAUUCCAAGUGUAGCGGUGAAAUGCGUAGAGAUUUGGAGGAACACCAGUGGCGAAGGCGGCUUUCUGGUCUGUAACUGACGCUGAGGCGCGAAAGCGUGGGGAGCAAACAGGAUUAGAUACCCUGGUAGUCCACGCCGUAAACGAUGAGUGCUAAGUGUUAGGGGGUUUCCGCCCCUUAGUGCUGCAGCUAACGCAUUAAGCACUCCGCCUGGGGAGUACGGCCGCAAAGGCUG
rnacentral:rRNA from 1 species